CCGGAGGCCAUUGCUAUCAGGGUUUGACUAAGCCAUGCGAGUCGAGAGGUGUAAGACCUCGGCAUACUGCUCAGUAACACGUGGUUAACCUGCCCUAAGGUGGAGAAUACUCCCGGGAAACUGGGGCUAAUGCUCCAUAGUGGAUAUGUCCUGGAAUGGUAUAUCCUCGAAAGAUCCGUCGCCUUAGGAUGGGACUGCGUCCGAUUAGGUUGUUGGCGGGGUAACGGCCCACCAAGCCUUUUAUCGGUACGGGUUGUGGGAGCAAGAUCCCGGAGAUGGAUUCUGAGACAUGAAUCCAGGCCCUACGGGGCGCAGCAGGCGCGCAAACUUUACAAUGCGAGCAAUCGUGAUAAGGAAACCCUGAGUGCCUGUCGAUGCAGGCUGUUCAUAUAUCUAAAUCAUAUGUGAAGAAAGGGCAGGGCAAGACCGGUGCCAGCCGCCGCGGUAAUACCGGCUGCUCGAGUGAUGGCCACUAUUACUGGGUUUAAAGCGUCCGUAGCUUGACUGUUAGGUCUCUUGGGAAAUCUUCGCGCUCAACGUGAAGGCGUCUAAGAGAUACCGGCAGUCUUGGAACUGGGAGAGGUAAACCGUACUUCGGGGGUAGG
rnacentral:rRNA from 1 species